rnacentral:rRNA from 1 species
ACUGCUCAGUAACACGUGGAUAACAUGCCCUAAGGUGGGGGAUAAUCUCGGGAAACUGAGGAUAAUACCCCAUAGAUCAUAGAUGCUGGAAUGCUCUUUGGUCCAAAACUCCGGUGCCUUAGGAUUGGUCUGCGGUCUAUCAGGCUGUAGUGGGUGUAAUGGACCCACUAGCCCGUGACGGAUAUGGGCCUUGAGAGAGGGUGCCCAGAGAUGGACUCUGAGACAUGAGUCCAGGCCCUACGGGGCGCAGCAGUCGCGAAAACUUCGCAAUGGGGGAAACCCCGACGAGGGAAUUCCAAGUGCCAGCACUUUGUGUUGGCUGUUCUUCUGUCUAAAAAACAGGAGAAGUAAGGGGCGGGUAAGACGGGUGCCAGCCGCCGCGGUAAUACCCGCGCCCCAAGUGGUGGUCGAUAUUAUUGAGCCUAAAACGUCCGUAGCCGGUCUUCUAAAUCCUUGGGUAAAUCGGGCAGCUUAACUGUCCGAAUUCCGGGGAGACUGGGAGACUUGGGACCGGGAGAGGUCAGAGGUACUUCUGGGGUAGGGGUAAAAUCCUGUAAUCCUGGAAGGACCACCGGUGGCGAAGGCGUCUGACUAGAACGGAUCCGACGGUGAGGGACGAAGCCCUGGGGCGCAAACGGGAUUAGAUACCCCGGUAGUCCAGGGUGUAAACGCUGCGGGCUUGGUGUUGGGGGUCCUUAGUGGGCGCCCAGUGCCGGAGAGAAGUUGUUAAGCCUGCUGCUUGGGGAGUAUGUCCGCAAGGAUGAAACUUAAAGGAAUUGGCGGGGGAGCAC